rnacentral:tRNA from 1 species
UCCUCUGUAGUUCAGUCGGUAGAACGGCGGACUGUUAAUCCGUAUGUCAAAUCCCGCUCAGGGAAACCU